rnacentral:misc_RNA from 1 species
UUUCCGUAGGUGAACCUGCGGAAGGAUCAUUAUUGUAUAACCGAGGUGCGAGGGCUGUCGCUGACCCGAAAGGUCGUGCACGCCCGAGUGCCCUCACACACAUCCAUCUCACCCCCAUGUGCACAACCGCGUGGGUCCCCCUUUGGCUUGUUCGGAGGGGGGCUUACGUUUUCACACAAACUUUGUAUGCAGUGUAGAAUGUAUUUUUUGUUUUUGCGAUCACGCAAUCAAUACAACUUUCAACAACGGAUCUCUUGGCUCUC